rnacentral:rRNA from 1 species
UGGGGAAUCUUCCGCAAUGGACGAAAGUCCGACGGAGCAACGCCGCGUGAGUGAUGAAGGUUUUCGGACUGUAAAACUCUGUUGUCAGGGACGAAGGUGCGAUCUGCGAAUAGUUGAUCGUAUUGACGGUACCUGACGAGGAAGCCACGGCUAACUACGUGCCAGCAGCCGCGGUAAUACGUAGGUGGCAAGCGUUGUCCGGAAUUAUUGGGCGUAAAGAGCAUGUAGGUGGGCUUUUAAGUCCGAUGUGAAAAUGCGGGGCUCAACCCCGUAUGGCAUUGGAUACUGGAAGUCUUGAGUGCAGGAGAGGAAAGGGGAAUUCCCAGUGUAGAGGUGAAAUUCGUAGAUAUUGGGAAGAACACCGGUGGCGAAGGCGACCACCUGGCUCGGAACUGACGCUGAGGUGCGAAAGCGUGGGGAGCAAACA